UGACAAUCCAGUCCCACCAGUCAGUAGUGGUCUCCAGGUGCCAGAAACACUGGAGCACGGUGUGCAAGGGAGGAUGGAAGGGACUGUGGGGCAUAAGGAGCACCUGGGCCUGGUAGGUCCGGCUCCAUGGUGGAAGUGCUGUUACAUCCGUAAGAGUAACCAGAGCAUGCAGUGAGAGUCUGCUAUCCCUCAAGGAGGGUUAUACUGGACUCGACUGAAAGUUUGCAGUUGUAUAUAUAACUUGUGCCUGACGAACCAUUUGGAAAGAUUUCUAUGACAAGUGUGUCUCUGGCUGAAUUUUUUGAUGUAAAAUUUCAGCAAGAACAGUUCAG